CCUACGGGUGGCUGCAGUGGGGAAUAUUGGGCAAUGGGCGCAAGCCUGACCCAGCAACGCCGCGUGAAGGAAGAAGGCUCUCGGGUUGUAAACCUCCUUUAAGAGGGAAGAGUAGAAGACGGUACCUCUUGAAUAAGCCACGGCUAACUAAGUGCCAGCAGCCGCGGUAAUACGUAGGUGGCAAGCGUUGUCCGGAUUUACUGGGUGUAAAGGGCGUGUAGCCGGGCUGGCAAGUCAGUUGUGAAAUCCCAGGGCUCAACCUUGGAACUGCAUUUGAAACUGUUGGUCUUGAGUAUCGGAGAGGCAUGCGGAAUUCGUGGUGUAGCGGUGAAAUGCGUAGAUAUUAGGAGGAACACCAGUGGCGAAGGCGGCCUGCUGGACGUCAACUGACGGUGAGGCGCGAAGGCGUGGGGAGCGAACAGGAUUAGAUACCCUUGUAGUC
rnacentral:rRNA from 1 species